AGUGAACGCUGGCGGUAGGCCUAACACAUGCAAGUCGAACGGCAGCACAGUAAGAGCUUGCUCUUACGGGUGGCGAGUGGCGGACGGGUGAGGAAUACAUCGGAAUCUACUUUUUCGUGGGGGAUAACGUAGGGAAACUUACGCUAAUACCGCAUACGACCUACGGGUGAAAGCAGGGGAUCUUCGGACCCUGCGCGAUUGAAUGAGCCGAUGUCGGAUUAGCUAGUUGGCGGGGUAAAGGCCCACCAAGGCGACGAGCCGUAGCUGGUCUGAGAGGAUGAUCAGCCACACGGGAACUGAGACACGGUCCAGACUCCUACGGGAGGCAGCAGUGGGGAAUAUUGGACAAUGGGGGCAAGCCUGAUCCAGCCAUACCGCGUGGGUGAAGAAGGCCUUCGGGUUGUAAAGCCCUUUUGUUGGGAAAGAAAAGCAGCAGGUUAAUACCCCGCUGUUCUGACGGUACCCAAAGAAUAAGCACCGGCUAACUUCGUG
rnacentral:rRNA from 1 species